GAGUUUUCUGAGAGAAGCUGCUAAGAACUUCCUCUGUGCCUGGCAGAAACCAAUAGCUGGCUAGCUCUGAGUACUGAAAACCUGUUAAACCAUUUAGGAGCUAGAUCUGCCUCUGCAAGAUUCACAUUUUAAAGACGGACUAACAAUAUGUGGUAGAUCAUUGUGAGGAUGGGAACUGCUGUGAAAUUCUACUGGGAAUUGAGCAAGAUGGAAAAUGGUACCAAACUGUAACCUGCUGCUGGGCAAGUGAAGAUGUUCCUUUCUUAUCAGGAAUAAUCCUGCAAGAAGACAGCACUCUGGGAGGCUUCUGAUGGAAAAAUAAAUGCCUAGUUGCAAGUGAAUGCAAAGGAUGCUGCUUCUGAGAAGAAAGAGGAGCCUUCAUAGAGGUUUUUUGAAUAGGGAAACCUUAAAACUGUAAGAACAGAACAGAAAACUUGAGGAAAAGAAGACACCAUGGAUAAAGAAGAUUUUUACAAUGGGUUAUUUUAUUCCCUAUUCAUUUAAUUUUUGUGUUUUAAUGAAAUACAUAUGGAGAGGUUGGAAGCAUUUUGAUGUUCUUUAGAUUUCUAUCUUUAAAUAAGUAGGACAGUUUCACCAAAAGCCUCUUCCUCCUCUGCAGUCCCCUGACAUAAUCUUCCUGCACACUGUAUGCAAAUAAUAAAAGUGCAAUUUUUAAUUUAGUUAGUAAGUGAAAGCUGCACCUGUUACAAAAUGGUCAGUUGCAAAAUUAAAUUUCCCAAAAGACAAAAACCCUACAGUUAAAAGCCCUAGCUUCCAGCUGUCUCUCAAACACAGAGAAUACCACAACA